AGAGUUUGAUCCUGGCUCAGGAUGAACGCUAGCUACAGGCUUAACACAUGCAAGUCGAGGGGAAACGACAUCGAAAGCUUGCUUUUGAUGGGCGUCGACCGGCGCACGGGUGAGUAACGCGUAUCCAACCUACCCACCACUUGGGGAUAACCUUGCGAAAGUAAGACUAAUACCCAAUGACGUCUCUAGAAGACAUCUGAAGGAGAUUAAAGAUUUAUCGGUGAUGGAUGGGGAUGCGUCUGAUUAGCUUGUUGGCGGGGUAACGGCCCACCAAGGCGACGAUCAGUAGGGGUUCUGAGAGGAAGGUCCCCCACAUUGGAACUGAGACACGGUCCAAACUCCUACGGGAGGCAGCAGUGAGGAAUAUUGGUCAAUGGGCGAGAGCCUGAACCAGCCAAGUAGCGUGCAGGAUGACGGCCCUAUGGGUUGUAAACUGCUUUUAUAAGGGAAUAAAGUGAGUCUCGUGAGACUUUUUGCAUGUACCUUAUGAAUAAGGACCGGCUAAUUCCGUGCCAGCAGCCGCGGUAAUACGGAAGGUCCGGGCGUUAUCCGGAUUUAUUGGGUUUAAAGGGAGCGUAGGCCGGAGAUUAAGCGUGUUGUGAAAUGUAGACGCUCAACGUCUGCACUGCAGCGCGAACUGGUUUCCUUGAGUACGCACAAAGUGGGCGGAAUUCGUGGUGUAGCGGUGAAAUGCUUAGAUAUCACGAAGAACUCCGAUUGCGAAGGCAGCUCACUGGAGCGCAACUGACGCUGAAGCUCGAAAGUGCAGGUAUCGAACAGGAUUAGAUACCCUGGUAGUCCGCACGGUAAACGAUGGAUGCCCGCUGUUGGUCUGAAUAGGUCAGCGGCCAAGCGAAAGCAUUAAGCAUCCCACCUGGGGAGUACGCCGGCAACGGUGAAACUCAAAGGAAUUGACG
rnacentral:rRNA from 1 species